rnacentral:piRNA from 1 species
UGUAAAAUGGAGAUAUAUUACCCAACCUUGG